rnacentral:rRNA from 1 species
UACAGAGGGUGCGAGCGUUAAUCGGAAUUACUGGGCGUAAAGCGCGCGUAGGCGGCUUUGCAAGCCGGAUGUGAAAUCCCCGGGCUUAACCUGGGAACUGCAUUCGGGACUGCAUUGCUAGAGUGCGGCAGAGGGGGAUGGAAUUCCGCGUGUAGCAGUGAAAUGCGUAGAUAUGCGGAGGAACACCGAUGGCGAAGGCAAUCCCCUGGGCCUGCACUGACGCUCAUGCACGAAAGCGUGGGGAGCAAACAGG